CAGAGCGAGGAGGAGGUGGAUCGGGGCAGUGUAAAUAGCCACUCAUUGGGGGCCUCCCACGCGCCGCGGACUGGGGAGCCUAGGUGCGGCCCUGCUGUGGCUCGGCUCAAAAUGUAGAACGCCACUUAAAAAUAGGCCAGGAAGUGAUCCAUGUUAGGAGUCGUACUGGGGAGGAUCAUUCGCUGGUCUCCUCUCGCGUGUCACAUGGUCUGGUGUGUCGAGUUGUUCAUCAUAAUGUAAAUUAUGCAGUGUUCCCGUAGAAACAGAAACAGGGCAUUGCAAAGAGAGCACUGAGAUCAUGCUGACAUAACUUUCUGUGCAACAAGAAACUUAUCUCAGCCUAGCAUAAGUGAGGAAGUAAGUGUUUACUGAAACAUGGAGGUCCCCGCCUUCAUCUUGUCCCUAGUCCUGCUGGCCCUGCUCCUGGCGGCGCCUUCCCAGUCGGUGCCCAAAUCUUAUUUUUAUCGCUAUGGGGAGGACGCCGGGGACUCGCCCCUGCCAGACGAGGAUGAAGUCUCCUCCCCGGAAAUAGGACUGAGAGUUCCCGUCGUCUUCUUCGGUCGAAUCUACCAGUCGAUAUUCGUCAACAGCAAUGGAUUUGUGUCCUUUGUGACAGAGAUACCAAACUUCUUUAACGUUCAGUUUCCACUGGAAUACCCAGUCAUUGCACCUUUCUACUCUGAUGUAGAUACCAGGUCAUCUGGAACAAUAUGGUACAGAGAGACAUCAGACCCUGGCACAAUGACUCGUAGCAAGGAUGAGUUGCAGCAACACUUCAGCAGUGCUGCAGACUUCACUCCAACUGGUGCCUUCAUUGUGACCUGGGACAAAGUGGGCCCAUAUAACCAGCGCUCAGACAGGGUCAACACUUAUCAGCUUGUUUUGAUUACUGAUGGUGAGGAGACAUACAUCCUUUUGCACUAUGCAGACGGCGGCAUCCAGUGGUUGUUGGGUGAUGGCAAGAACCCCAGUCUGCCAGAUGCUCGUGGUCAGGCUGGCUUGAUGUCUGGGGACGGCAGGCACUUCGUGCUCAAGGGCUCUGGCACUGAUCAAGUGAGAAGCCUUGACAAGUGGAGUAAUAGUGGCAACUCAGGGGUCUGGAUGUAUCGUGUUGGACAACUGAGUUUGAGUGAGAAUGCACAGGAGCCAGACAUUGGUGUGGAUAGUGCAGUUGGUGAAGAUACAAUGCAGUCUUGUGCUGUGGGUGGCUCUUUGUGCCACUCUGAUGCUGUAUGUGUUGAUUAUACCCCAGGAUUCUGUUGCAAGUGUGGAGACAAUUAUUUAGGAAACGGCAUCAACUGCAUCCCUAAAGGGGAACCCAUAAGAGUAACUGGAAGGGUGAUUGGAAAUCUCAAUGGAAUCAAAUUAGAAGAAUUGGACCUUCAUUCCUAUGUAUUAACAAAGGAAGGUCGCAGUUACACAGCCAUCUCAAGAGUCCCAUCACAAAUAGGAUAUGAUCUGCAGAGUAUUACAGCCAUUGGCACUGGCAUUGCUUGGCUCUUUGCAAGUCCAGUAAACAAUGUGAAGAAUGGUUUUCAUAACACAGGAGGUAAGUUCAACCGCACUGUGGAGGUGGACUUCCCACAGACAGGCCAUCGAGUGGAGGUGCAACAACAGUUUCAGGGUCUAGAUGUCUUCAACUAUGUGCAGGUGAAGACUCAGAUUACUGGCUCAAUUCCAACAAUUUCAGUGGGCUCUGAGAUUGAGAUGGAUGCAUUUAAUGAAGAAUAUACAAGAGUAAAACCUGGUCAGUUGAGAGCAAGAUCAGGUCGAGUAUUCCGACUCAAGGGGCAGACCAUUGACACACCAUUUACUGUGGAGACUACAAUUGACUUUGAUGAGUGUGAAUGGAAGAACCUGGAUGAUGGGGAUCUAGAGACUUUGAGGCUCAAGGUUUCUGGUAACAUCUUCAUCCAGUAUGAUGCCACAGAGGAGAUUGUUCGAUAUGCACUUUCAGCAAAAUUGGCUCCUCUUGAGGAAAUUGAUCCCUGUGUAGAGGGACGGCAAGAGUGUGGUGAAAACAGUCAGUGCGUUGUUGAUGGUGACACUUUUAGGUGUGUGUGUGAACGUGGUUAUGAAGAAGUCUAUGAUGCUACACUGAACAAAGGAAUUUGCCUGGAUCUCAAUGAAUGCAGCACCAGUCGAGACAACUGUCAUACCCAUGCCAUCUGUAAGAAUACUCCGGGCAGCUUCAUUUGCUCAUGUAAGCCUGACUUCACCGGAGAUGGGGUCAACUGUGAGAGAGUGGGAACUUGUGGCGGCAUCCCAUGUGAUCCCAAUGCAGUGUGUGAGCUGCACCUUAAUGAGCCUCAGUGUAUUUGUCGGCCAGGCUUUGUUGGGGAUGGCCUCAUCUGCACCAAGGGGACUGAGAUAUCUUUGGUGGAUCAGCCGAGGACAUGCGUUGAUUAUGAUAUUUGUAGCCCCUACGCUGAUUGUGUCUAUGAUGACACCGUACGUAGCUUUCAGUGUGUCUGCCUUCCGGGAUACAAUGGAGAUGGACAGACAUGUCAACCGAGUGAGAGUUGUAAAACAGCCAGAAACUGUUCCCCAUAUGGUGUGUGUACCAAAGUUGAGAAUGAGUAUAGGUGUGAGUGUUUGCCUGGCUUCACUGGUGAUGGCUAUGUGUGUGAGGGGGAAGACUUAAGGACUCCUUACAAUCCCGAGGAUCCAGAACACCCUUAUAAACUUGGAGAACCUCAGGAACCAUAUCAGCCUCUGGAUCCCCAAGACCCAUAUCAACCACUGGAGCCUCAGGACCCAUAUCAACCACUGGAACCCCAAGACCCAUAUCAACCACUGGAGCCUCAGGACCCAUAUCAACCACUGGAACCCCAAGACCCAUAUCAACCACUGGAGCCUCAGGACCCAUAUCAACCACUGGAACCCCAAGACCCAUAUCAACGACCAGAACCCAUAGAUCCAUAUCAGCCAUCAGAUCACCAAGAUCCAUAUCAGCAACCAAGACCCCAAGAUCCAUACCAGCCUCAAGAUCCAUACCAGCCCCAAGACCCAUAUCAACCAUUGAGGCCAUAUCAGCCACAAGAACCUGAGGAACCAUAUCACCCAGACCAGCCUCAGCAGCCAUGGCAGCCUGAGAUUAUAGAACCUGAAUGUCUCAGUGGAGCAUGUUGGUGCCCUCUGGGUUACACUCUUAACCUGGAGUUCAAUCAAUGUGAGCUGAAAGGUGCAGUCAUAUCAUCAGAGGGAGAUGAAAAACUAGAGGUGCCAGAACCAUACUGUGGUGCUGCUAAGUGUACCUGUCCAAAAGGCUUCGAGUAUGAUCCCACCAGACACACCUGCAAGCUGCAGGUGGCAGAAUCACACUCAGAUGGGGACUUAUUGGCCCAGCCCUUACCUGGGUGUUUCAUGGGCAAGUGUUCCUGUCCCUGGGGUUACUUCUAUGACUACAGUCAACAUGCAUGCCUAGCCAAUAACACUUCAGGCUACAACUAUAACAUUCAAGGAGGAGGUUCAGAACAAACAGUCUCUUGUCAUGAUGUGAAUCGCUGCCACCCCAAUGCUCAGUGUACAUACAACAGCUAUACACAGCAGUACUCAUGUCAAUGUAAUGCUGGAUAUGGUGGAGAUGGAUACCACUGCAGUAAAUUGGAUGUGUCAUGUGAUCAUGUGGAUAUCUGUCACAUCCAUGCUCACUGUGUGUUUGAUGACCAGACACUCCAGCAUGUCUGUGUGUGCAGCACAGGCUAUGAGGGUGAUGGUAUAGUGUGCACACCACAAGAUGAAUGCAGCAGUGUUGUCGACUGUAAUAUCAAUGCCCAGUGCUUGUAUGACAGCUCCAGCCAACGAUAUAAGUGUGUCUGUAAUGCUGGCUAUGAAGGAGAUGGCCACAUUUGUACCACUUCAGGAGAGGCAAGCUGUAACAUUGUCAACAAUUGUGAUGUUAAUGCCAAUUGCAUCUAUGACACAUAUGCACUGAGUUACCGCUGCCAGUGUCAUGAUGGCUAUGAAGGAGAUGGUCUUUUCUGUUCACCAGCUCAGGUUGGCUGCAAUGUGCUCCAGAACUGUGGAGAAAAUGCUGUGUGUUCAUACAACAUAGAGGCUCGCGGAUAUCGAUGCAAGUGUCAGGAAGGUUAUGAGGGAGAUGGAUUCUUCUGCAAGCCCACAAGGUCCUGCCAGCUGGACCCGUCACUGUGCCACCCUCAGGCUGUGUGUGUGUCCGACUCACAGUCUUCAUUUGGAUUUUCAUGUCGCUGUCAAGAAGGCUUUACUGGUGACGGGCAUCAUUGUCUUGAGGCAGUGAAUCAUGAGAAAGACAUUCUGCUCUUCAAUCAAGGGUUGGCAGUCUUGCGAAUGCCUGUCAACCCACGAGGAGGAAGGAGUUACAUCAUACACUUUGAGGCAUUCAUGACAGCUGUAGGUGCAGAUAUAGACUGCUUAGCAGGCCGCUUCUACUGGACAGAUGUGCGAUCAUCUUCCAUCAGGUCAUCUAAGUAUGAUGGCACUCAGCGCCAACCAACAGUCAUUCAAGUUGCAUUUUUCAGGUAACAUUGGAUUCCCUGAAGAUGUUGCAGUUGACUGGAUUUCUAAGAAUGUAUACUGGACAGAUUCAGCAAAUGAUGUUGUGUCUGUAGCUUCCAUUAGAGAUGGAAAGCAACGUACCAUUAUCAAAGAAGGACUUGUCAACCCUCGAGGUAUUGCCGUCCAUCCAGGCCUUGGGCUUCUGUUUUGGAGUGACUGGAAUCGACUUUCUCCAAAAAUUGAAUCAUCUGGAUUGGAUGGAUCUGAUCGUCAGGUGAUUGUGUCCGAAGAUAUUUCAUUGCCUAAUUCUUUGGUUGUGGACUAUGAAACUGAUACCCUCUGCUGGGCUGAUGCUGGAACUCAUAAAAUAGAGUGUGUGAGUGUGCGGGGUGGUGGCCGCCGAGUGGUGUCAAGUGGCCCUCUGUAUCCAUUUGGUCUCACCAUAUUGGGUCAGAACUUUUUCUAUACUGACUGGAAUGACACUAAAAUCCACACUGUGAACCGUUACUCUGGAGUGGAAUCUGCCUCCCGCGCCCCACCUCCAGGAGGCUCAGGAAAGCUGUAUGGAAUAGCAGCAGUUCCUGCAUCAUGUCCACCAGUAUCCAAUUUCUGUGCUUUGGAUGAUGGUGGAUGCCCCUCCUCUCACCUAUGUCUACCCAAUGGCAAUGGGGGACGCACUUGUGCCUGCACUGACCUUACUCUCCAAGAUGAGGGCUCUCGUUGUUCAGACUUUAGCUACUGAACAUUCCCUCUCUGAAAAGAUGUUGUAGUUAAUGUAUGUUUCAUUUUUCUUCCUAAGCUGCCAAACUAUAUUUUUCUCAUAACUCACUUUACCAAAAACCCCUUGAGGAUAAUUUUUAUAACUAAUCAUUAUAGAUCAUAAAUUUUCAUAAUCAGCACACCACUUAGUCCAAGAUUUAUCAGCAUUACCUUCAUUAAUAUGUACUACAUGACCAUUUGGAAUUGUCUGCUAUUUGUAGUGGCCAGAUGAUGAAUACAUUACAUUGUGUACAGUGCUUUCUGAAUGCAUAGUAGAUUAUGCCAUAGUGUAUAAGGAGAAUUAAGUGGAGACCCAUACCUAUUAUCUGUUUGCAGAUUAGAAGCUCAAGGUCAUCCACUUGUCAUGUGAAAUUAAUUUAAUGUCACUUUUGAACUUGUAAAUUAGAAAUGAUUCAUACUGUAGUGUAUUUAAAGUUUUUAGUUGUUUUCUUCCUCUAAUAAAUAAAUUAAUGAAA